ACUGUCACGGCGAGGCAAUUUUGCGAGACAACGAGAGUCUCUCGGGUGUGCGUGUGAUCAAGUUUUUGUGAGGAACCUGCAUGAUCUUGCGCAUGAAGUAAUUAUUUUUGGACAGUUUCUUCUCUGGACGCUGUUACAAGUACAGGCAAGCGGGUAUCAACGGUUGUUAUUGCUGUACUUUGUGGUGUUGUGAUUCACCAGUGCGGAUCGAAGAGCACCGUUUUCUCCAGCCCUGAUUCUACAAUUUGGAGAUGGGGUACAAGGAGAAGUGCAAGUGUAUUCCACAUCUUGAGGGAGAUGCAAGAUAUGCUUCCGCAAUCCUUGCUGCAAGUGUUCAAAUAAAUGGUUGCAAGUUUCA